AUGGAAAGAAAAAAAAGAAGCUUCAGGCUUCCACAUGCGCUAAUUUUUCGUGUAGGAGUCCUGGAACAAUGAGCCUUUAACGUGCAUACGUAAAUAAUUAGCGCCGUUACAAGUCGGCUGGUUCCUUAUUAAUUGGCUGCACGUGCAUGAACGGAGCCGGGCGGUGCCGUCGGGGCGGGGAUGUGAGCGGAGCGCUCCGGGUCGGCUUGGGAAGGAGGAGGGACCCCCCUGGCGGCUGUGCGGGAGAACGGCUCCCGUCGGCGCGGCGUGCUGCCCCGUGCUGCCCCGUGCUGCCCCGUGCUGCCCCGUGCUGCCCUUUUACCGGCACACGAUAAUUAGGGUUCGGUGUCUCCCGCUAUCAUCCCACAAUAAACCGCCCGGACGGCCGGGUUUGCUUGGGACAGAGGGCACGUUCGGGCCCGACGGAUUUAGGCCAUGGAGGCUAAAAUGACAGGAAAUGGUCUGAUGGAGGGAUUUCGAUGGAACCCACAAGAAAACAAUCAAGUUUUUACCUUGAUCUCCAGUGGAUACGACUGACUUGAUUUACUAUCAAAACAAGCAACAAAGGAAUUCACUUUAGGAAGGAAAUCAGUACUAUAAAAAAUGAGUGAAAAGCCUGCAAUUCUGAAGACCACAAGUUUUGGAGAACAAAUGACGAUGGAAGUUAAUGUUGGCCUUUGGAUGAAACCAACAGCCAGCUCUACUGAACCAAGCAGAGCAUUCCUAACCUGACAUGCUGACAGGGACACCCCUGCCUAUUCCAAAAGAGAGUUUGGAUGAAGCCAGAUUUAUCGCGUGUUCCCAACAGGGGCUGGGCUGACUCUAAAGGAAGCUAUGCAGGCCAAAAGUAAACAAGAUACACAUGAAGUCGUUUGUGCCAUCAGGAAAUCUUCCAGGGGUUAUGUGCAGAGGAGAAAGAAAGCCAGCAGAAAUAAAUGGCUUAAGCUGUCUUUCCCCUCUCCUCCUUAUGCUCUGUCUCUGUAUUUUCAGAGGAUGUAAAUGAAGGUCUCCUCCCCAGAAUUCUUACCCUUAUAUGCACUUUCUUUACCUCUGCUCCCCCAUGAAAGUAACUCUGUGUGCUGCUCCCUCCCGGCACAGCAGCUCCCUUUGUGGCAGCUGCUGGGGAUGCUCAGUGGCACAGUGCUGCUCCUGCGGCUGCUGGCAUUCAUGCUUGGAUAUGGACCCCUGCAAGAGCAGGCCUGGGCUGGACAGCCGCGCUUUUCCCAGGAGCAUGUGUGAAUGAUUUGAAUUAUGUAAUUCUGUAAAGAAAAUGUAGCCUUUUCCAGCUGCAUUUACUGUGAGCAGACACGCAGCCACAGUAAUUGCAAAUAUCGGGACAAGAAACUUUUGCAUUUACAUUCUGGCAAACUGGAGCCAACAUUUUAAUCUGCUAAGAGAGCCCAGGAGAGCUGUGCUGGUGGCACACAUUGUUCACUGCUCCAUGUCUGACCAGAGUCUGACUUGAACUUUGUAAUUUGCUGGAGUGGAGUCACUAAAUUACACACUGCUAUGAGAUAUACAAUCCCACAUGAGACACAGAGCAGCUCCUUAAUACGACAGCCUUCAAACAGGCAUGAGCUCAAAUACCACUGCAGAGAACAAAGCUUCCCAGUGUUAGAUACAGCAUUAGAAGUUCUACCUCGUGAAAUGUUAUGGACUUUAUUGUCAAAGGAAAUCCAUAUUUGUGCCCAUAAUAAUAGUGUGCCUGGAACUCCCUGCCAAAGAAAAAGUCUGUGCAGCAACGUAUAGACAAGCAACAGCGCACACAAAAAGGAAAGUUGUUGAGUGUCUGCUUUACAAAUGCAGCCCUGGGGUUUCAGAAGUGCAAGAUAUACAUAUGCAGAAUGGAGACAGUUAUAGGCUGCUUGGCAGUGCAGACCGGCGUGUAAAAUAUGGGUCUCAGAAGGUUCCUUUAUGGCCUGAACCGAAGAUUUUGCAGCAGCCUUAAUGUUCUGUUUGCUGUAUUUUGGAAAUCAGAACUCUGCAGUUUCAGAGAUGUGUGUUGCCUUCUAACCUGCAUUAACAUUUGAAUUUUCUGUGAAUCUUCCAUCAUCAGAAUGACAGCAGUCCGGCUCAUCCAGUGUGGUGCUAUUGGUAGUGAUGGGGGGUUGCAGUGCUGUGGGUUGCAGUGGCUGUGAAUUACCCGUGUCAGUUGCAGCAACGACUGCUUGUGCCAAAGCAAGGCACAGAUAGAAAACUAUUGGCACAGAAAAUUGGCAAGAGAUGAUCAAUGAUUGUACAUGCACAUUCACCACAGUCACGCUGGCUUUAAUAGCUGUAGCAUGUGCUCAGCCAAGGAAGAGGUUUUCAUUAGAUAGAUGCAGAUAGAUAUAAAUAGACAUAUCUGUAUCUAUCUAGGAAUAGACAGAUAUGUGCAUGUGUGUAUAAAACACACAAAAAUCACAGCUACUUGGUCUUGUCCUUUUGCCAUAAUGUCUGACAGAGAUUUGUCCCAGUAGUAAUUACACUAUAUUCUUUAUGUGUACCAAGUUAUUUACUCAUUUUUAUUUUAGGCAUCAGGAAGGAACAAAGGCAAAAAUCUGAAGCAAAUCAGAUCCAGAUUUCAGCCUGAGAAGUGCAAAAUAUACGGCCAGGUCACUCCAACAGCUCCAGUGCAAUCACUGCUCUCAUCUGUUUGUAAAUGUCCUUUGACUUGCUCUUGAUCUUGGCAGCAAGCUCACAGUUUAAGCUUUGGCUCUCCAUCCAAGUAGGAAUAUUUAGGCCAAUACGGACGCUUGAAUCUCUCAGUCCUCAAAGGAACUGAUAAAAUUAUGGACAAGUUCCAUUAAACAAUACUGUCUUUGUGCUUAUUUACUUAGAAUGAGGCUGUGCAUGAGGCUCUUUAUCUCCAAGGGGAGUGAGAAAUGUGCAGCAGGGAGCAGAGGCGCAGAGCUGGACGUGGUGUCACCACCCACCUCUCCCCAGGCCCAGACUUAGAGUUUUACCCACUUUGGCCAGCAGCAAUGGAGCCUCUCCCAUGGAGGGAGUGUGACUCAGAGGGGUGUCUGAAUCAUCAGGGCUUCCCCUGGGCGAGGCCCCUUGUGCGAACUGCCUGUCCACAUGUCUGGGCGUGGGGAUGGGGAGGGAGAUGUGCAGUACAGGGACAGCCCUGUUAGGGACCCUACAGCUGCAGAACAGCCACAGGUGGGAAGCAGCAUGGAGGUGAGGUAUGGCAUUGGCAAAUAUUGCUCCUAUGACAUUUUGGUGUUUGCAUCCAGGGCCUGUUUUCACUUCAAUGGUGCUACAACCCAUGGCUGCUUCCCUGCUAAGUUAACAACGAUGUGAGGACAUAAAUGAGGGACUGCUGCAGACGACAUUGGCCUUCUGGCAUUUUCGACUCUUUUCCACCCACCCUUGAAAAUCAUCUCAGGCCCCAAAUGGAUUUGUGAGCUGAACCACAUGCUUGGAAUGAAGUGCUAAUUAAAUGCUUCUACUUGAUGUAGACAACAUUUCUUUGAAAGGAUGGUAAUGUGCUGCAGAUGCCAUGUAUUCCCAUAGGGAUGGAGGAAGCAAGCAGUGCUGGUAGGUCGCCCUGCUCGAGGAAAGUGGGAUGUAUCAUGGGCGGCUCAUGGCUGGCAAGGCUGCAUGCUGACACUGUACUCAUCUGGACCUAAGACCCUCACGUGGUCCCUCACUGUGAACAUGGUGGCACAGAUGCCCCAUGUACUUCCAUACUUUGACACCUGGGCAGUAAGUGGUGGGGCCCUAGAGUUUGAGAGGCACUCAGUGCCCAAAGUCAGGCAGGUUACAGCCGGUGGAUGGUUCAGAAAUAGAGAUGAAUCUUGCUGGGUGGAGGCCUGGCCAUGCUUUUUGGGACGGCAAGUAGUUCCUGGCUUGGGCUGUCCUAGUGCAGGACACAGCUCCAUAGCAAAGAAACAGAAAGGAUUUUGGUCUAGCACAAGAAUUGAUGUCCAUUCUGGCAAGAGGAGGAAGGCUGACGAUCCAGUUCCAGAGCAACUGGAAGGCUCUGCUGAAAUUAUUGCCGUUGAAAUCAUGAUUCAUCUUUAUAUUUCAGGGUCAGCAGGCACCAAGAACAGAAGAGCCAGAUCACCCAGGCCAUAUGUUUGAGUCCAUUUCUAAGUCCAGACUUGCAGACGAGCAGCUUGCUGCAGGCUUGAGGCCAGCUCUUGCUCUGUCUUGGGGAAUAUUUUGAGCAAAAUGGGUGUCUUUGUAGAGACCCAGGCUCUCCUCAGCAUAAUCUGGGUGCAUUAGACAAAAGUGGCACUGUGCAUGUUGUGUGAAUCCUGAGCCUGGAUCAAACCAUUCUCUGCACACACUGGAUGCAAAUUACCAGCAGCCAACAGCCAGCCAAGUGGGCAGAGACUGUACAUCAUGGGGCUCAUCUCCUGCACACAGCGUUUUUCUCUAGAGGACUAGACAUCUGGACUGUCCUUUUUGCGAAGUCAAACCCUUGGGUAUCUGAGGAGCUUUGAGCAGUGCUCGCGCCUUCCUGACCUGUGCUGUCAGGGAUGGGCAGGAGAGAGGCUGCCCUGCAGGACAGGGUGUGCUUGGGGCAUGUUGGCUGCAAUGGUCUGAAUGCAGGCCCUGCACAAAGCAAGUAGGAUGGAAAAAAUAAACUAGAAAAUGCAAUUGUCAUGGAAUGGUGGUUACUUCCAGGGCUGGAAAAAAAUCUCAAUGUGCCAGGGUAAGGAUGAGAGGAAAAGAACCUGAUUAGGCAGAGAGUCCAGAUGGGAGGGGGAGGGCUGUGGGCCAAGAUUGCCAGCUUUAAUUGGUUUGUGCUAAUGAGUGUUGUUAGUGAUCUGCCUUGUGAUACAUUGAUUUGCUCUUUGAGAUGGAUGGUCCCACCCCAGUGAUGGAGCUCAAGUGACAGAGGUGUGUUGGUGCAGGUGACAUAACAUUCAUGUUGGAUGU